GGCCGUGUGGCUCAAUGGCAGAGCGUCUGACUACGAUUAGCUCCUCACAUGUGAAGGACAUUAGUAACGUGAUCAGAAGGUCGCAGGUUCGACCCCUGUCUCGGUCA